UCCCUAAACUAUCACUCUCUCACCAACUUAGUCGCUAAACUAUUAAAACCAACUAAAAGGUCCCUAAACUAUAUUCACAUCCUUCAAUUUAGUCCCUAAACUAUUUUCCAUCCAUCAAUUUAUUCCUCCGUUAUAUUUUCCUUUAACUGUUCUUUAAAACCCUAAAAUCCAAAAGCUACUUUUACGCUUAUAUCUCUCUUCUCGAUCAACUCUCUCAAAUCAUCUCAAUUUGAAAACCCUAGCGCCACCUAUACNNN
rnacentral:lncRNA from 1 species